CCUACGGGUGGCUGCAGUCAAGAAUCUUCCUCAAUGGACGAAAGUCUGAAGGAGCAAUGCCGCGUGCAGGAUGAAGGCCUUCGGGUCGUAAACUGCUUUUAUAAGGGACGAACAAAUGACGGUACCUUAUGAAUAAGGGGUUGCUAACUCUGUGCCAGCAGCAGCGGUAAUACAGAGACCCCGAGCGUUAUCCGGAUUUAUUGGGCGUAAAGCGUCUGUAGGCUGUUUUGUGUGUCGUGCGUCAAAUCUUCGGGCUCAACCCGAAGGCUGCGUGCGAAACUGCAAAACUUGAGAGUGGGAGAGGUAUGCGGAAUUACUGGUGUAGCGGUAAAAUGCGUUAAUAUCAGUAAGAACACCAAAGGCGAAAGCAGCAUACUUGAACAUUUCUGACGCUCAGAGACGAAAGCGUGGGUAGCGAAUGGGAUUAGAUACCCGAGUAGUC
rnacentral:rRNA from 1 species